AAUAAAAAUAUCUUUGGUUGGGGCAACCACGAAGAAAAAAAAACCUUCGUUUAGAAAAAAAAUUUACAAAUUUAAAAAUUAUUAAAAAUUUUUAAGAUCCAGAAAAUUCUGAACAAAGAAAAAAGUUACCGCAGGGAUAACAGCGUUAUUCUCUUUAAGAGCUCUUAUUGACAAGAGAGUUUGCGACCUCGAUGUUGGAUCGGGGCACCCAAGAGGUGCAGCAGCCUCUAAAGGUAGGUCUGUUCGACCUUUAAAGCCCUACGUGAU
rnacentral:rRNA from 1 species